rnacentral:rRNA from 1 species
GACGAACGCUGGCGGCGUGCUUAACACAUGCAAGUCGAGCGGAAAGGCCCUUCGGGGUACUCGAGCGGCGAACGGGUGAGUAACACGUGAGUAACCUGCCCCAGACUUUGGGAUAACCCUCGGAAACGGGGGCUAAUACCGGAUACGACACAGCUUCGCAUGGGGUCUGUGUGGAAAGUUUUUCGGUUUGGGAUGGGCUCGCGGCCUAUCAGCUUGUUGGUGGGGUGAUGGCCUACCAAGGCGACGACGGGUAGCCGGCCUGAGAGGGCGACCGGCCACACUGGGACUGGGAAACGGCCCAGACUCCUACGGGAGGCAGCAGUGGGGAAUAUUGCACAAUGGGCGGAAGCCUGAUGCAGCGACGCCGCGUGGGGGAUGACGGCCUUCGGGUUGUAAACCUCUUUCAGCAGGGACGAAGCGUAAGUGACGGUACCUGCAGAAGAAGCGCCGGCUAACUACGUG